rnacentral:rRNA from 1 species
AGGAUAAACGCUGGCGGCGUGCUUCAGGCAUGCAAGUCGAACGAGCGACCCCGGCUUGCCGGGGAAGCUAGUGGCGGACGGGUGAGUAACACGUAAGCAACCUGCCCAGAAGUGUGGAAUAACCCACCGAAAGGUGAGCUAAUACCGCAUGUUGUGGUCUUUCUUUGGGAGGAUCAUUAAAGGAUUUAUUCGCUUCUGGAGGGGCUUGCGGCCGAUUAGCUAGUUGGUGGGGUAAUGGCCCACCAAGGCUACGAUCGGUAGCUGGUCUGAGAGGACGGACAGCCACACGGGGACUGAGAUACGGCCCCGACUCCUACGGGAGGCAGCCAGCUAGGAAUCUUGGGAAUGGGCGAAAGCCUGACCCAGCAACGCCGCGUGGGCGAUGAAGGCCUUCGGGGUCGUAAAGCCCUUUUGGCAGGGACGAUAAUGACGGUACCCUGACGAAUAAGCCACGGCUAACUACGUGCCAGCAGCCGC